GACGAACCGUGCGAACGUUAUUCGGAAUCACUGGGCUUAAAGCGCGUGUAGGCGGGACGGCACGUCUGUCGCUGAAAUCCCCCGGCUUAACCGGGGAACUGGCGGAGAUACGACCGUCCUGGAGGGGCGUAGGGGGAUCUGGAACUUCCGGUGGAGCGGUGAAAUGCGUUGAGAUCGGAAGGAACGCCCGUGGCGAAAGCGAGGUCCUGGACGCCUACUGACGCUGAGACGCGAAAGCCAGGGGAGCGAACGGG
rnacentral:rRNA from 1 species